rnacentral:rRNA from 1 species
GACGAACGCUGGCGGCGUGCCUAAUACAUGCAAGUUGAGCGCUGAAGGUUGGUACUUGUACCAACUGGAUGAGCAGCGGACGGGUGAGUAACGCGUGGGGAAUCUGCCUUUGAGCGGGGGACAACAUUUGGAAACGAAUGCUAAUACCGCAUAAAAACUUUAAACACAAGUUUUAAGUUUGAAAGAUGCAAUUGCAUCACUCAAAGAUGAUCCCGCGUUGUAUUAGCUAGUUGGUGAGGUAAAGGCUCACCAAGGCGAUGAUACAUAGCCGACCUGAGAGGGUGAUCGGCCACAUUGGGACUGAGACACGGCCCAAACUCCUACGGGAGGCAGCAGUAGGGAAUCUUCGGCAAUAGACGAAAGUCUGACCGAGCAACGCCGCGUGAGUGAAGAAGGUUUUCGGAUCGUAAAACUCUGUUGGUAGAGAAGAACGUUGGUGAGAGUGGAAAGCUCAUCAAGUGACGGUAACUACCCAGAAAGGGACGGCUAACUACGUG